rnacentral:rRNA from 1 species
UACGUAGGGUGCGAGCGUUGUCCGGAAUUAUUGGGCGUAAAGAGCUCGUAGGCGGUGUGUCACGUCGAUCGUGAAAACUUGGGGCUUAACCCUGAGCUUGCGGUCGAUACGGGCAUCACUGGAGUUCGGCAGGGGAGACUGGAAUUCCUGGUGUAGCGGUGAAAUGCGCAGAUAUCAGGAGGAACACCGGUGGCGAAGGCGGGUCACUGGACCGGUACUGACGCUGAGGCGCGAAAGCGUGGGGAGCGAACAGG